CUCGGUCAUUCGGCUGACUGGACGCCUACCUAAAACACCACACACUCACGCCUGCAAUGGUUUUCCUUUAUUGUGAUUUAAGCACCACCUGGAGUUUGGGCCUCUGUUGUAUACUUGCUGUGACCGUGUCUGGGGAAUCUAACUGCGCCUGUGAACAGCGCCCGCAAAUAAACUCACGGCACCUG